AAAAGCUUUCUUUAAUUGAAUAAUUGAAUUUAAUUUUUUAGUGCAAAAGCAAAAAUAAAAAUUAGGGACAAGAAGACCCUAUGAAUUUUUUAUUAAAUUUUAUAAAACUUUAUAUAAAAUUUAAUUUAAUUGGGGUGAUGGAAAAAGAAUAAAUAUCUUUUUUUAAAAAAAAAUUGGUUCCGUUUUUAGCGAUUAAAUGAAAAAAAUACUCUAGGGAUAACAGCGUAAUAAUUUUGGAUAGUUCAUAUAGAUAAAAUAGUUUGCGACCUCGAUGUUGGAUUAGGAUUCUUUUUUGGUGAAGAAGUUAAAAAAAGAAGUUUGUUCAACUUAUAAUUUCCUACUUGAUCUGAGUUCAGACCGG
rnacentral:rRNA from 1 species